CCUACGGGUGGCAGCAGUGAGGAAUAUUGGUCAAUGGACGAGAGUCUGAACCAGCCAAGUAGCGUGAAGGAUGACUGCCCUAUGGGUUGUAAACUUCUUUUAUAUGGGAAUAAAAUGAUCCACGUGUGGGAUUUUGUAUGUACCAUAUGAAUAAGGAUCGGCUAACUUCGUGCCAGCAGCCGCGGUAAUACGGAGGAUCAGAGCGUUAUCCGGAUUGAUUGGGUUUAAAGGGAGCGUAGGUGGAUUGUUAAGUCAGUUGUGAAAGUUUGCGGCUCAACCGUAAAGUUGCAGUUGAUACUGGCAGUCUUGAGUGCAGUAGAGGUGAGCGGAAUUCGAGGUGUAGCGGUGAAAUGCUUAGAUAUCACGAGGAACUUCAGUUGCGAAGGCAGUUCACUGGACUGCAACUGACACUGAGGCUCGAAAGUGUGGGUAUCAAACAGGAUUAGAUACCCUAGUAGUC
rnacentral:rRNA from 1 species